UGCUGCCACCGGCUGACGUAAUCAUUAUGGUAAUAGCACAUCUUGAUGAAGACUUUUUUUUCGCAUUUCAAAAAUAGUGAUGUGAAAACCUACCGCAUUCCUUAGCGCUGUUUUUAACUUUCCUCAGGUGAUCAGCCAGCAGAUCUGCUCACGAAGCCUCUACCAACUCCGACCUUCUUGAAAUUCAGAGCUGAAUUUGGGCUCCAAUCAGCCAGUACCGAGUGAGAGAUUUGAUGAGGUUUUCAUCUGGGUUUCCCUCAUCCUUGCAACGAAUGUUGAAUCUAUUUUCUUUUCUUCCCAGAUAUUAGAUAAAGUUAAUUUUUUUUUGACGUUUUAAACCCCCCCCCCCAAAAAAAAAAAAAAAAAAA